UUCGUCAAACAUAAUGUCUCCCAAGUAUCACCUGCUCUACUUUCUCCCACUGUUUCCUACCACCUGACAAACUGAUCUUCUUGGUUUCCAGAAUCUUCUAGAAUGAUACUACACCUUAUGAAGCCAUUUUAAGAUUGAGGAAAAUCAAUGUUAGCUUUCCCUGUCAGGCAAGACUGUCCCUUUCUUCACCAUGACAGAGGUAUUACAGUACAUGGUCAGAAACUGGAAAAGAGUUUUACUAUUUUUUUAUUCUCUAUCGAGUGCAAUGCCAAGCAACAUUCAGAUGUUAUCCUCACCUUUCCCAGACUUCCAAAGCUAGGAUUUUUUGAUGAGUAAAUAACCCUGGGCUUCAGUAUUGGCAUCACAUGCUUAGUAAAUUGAAUGUAAACAAAGAAGUUUAGCCUGCAGUGGAACACCGAGUUCUUUGGGGGGGGUGGGGGGUGCCAGUGAGAUGGGAAUGUGAUGACUUUUAUUUCCUCACUUAAGUCAAACAUAUAAUACCGAGUUAUAACUUUUUUUUUUUUUUUUUUUUGCCUUGUUUGGUGUAUGAGGAUAAAAGCAAUUUGUUGAAAAAUAUAUCCCAAAAGAAUAAGUAAGCAGGCUUCAAAAUCAAGAGCCUUAAGAAUGGGAUUGGCAGCGCUCAGCUCUCAAUGCAGGUAGGUACUUGAUUUUUUGGAAGAUAGACAUUGAAACUUAAGAAUUUUUUUUUUUUUAAAUGAACUAUAGUCAUGGCCUCUUUCUGUCUUUACAUCCUGAGAGAAGGAAGUACCAAAAUGUGAUGGUGACAGGAGUUCUCAAGCCCCGUUAUGAGAUUUAUUUUCCUCAGAGUUCUCUGGUAAUGGAUUGCCUUGACACUUGGCCUUGGAUGGUCCUGCAGCCUUUUCCAGGAUGGAUCGUGGCUUCCUUUAUGUCAUCUUUAAAAUGGAUUAUAAUCGGCUCUGUUCAGAUUCCUGUCGGAAUCGCAUGUGAUGAUGCUGCUGAUGAUAACUGGCCUGCAGCAUUUAGCAGGUAGCGCACCGGUGGCUUCCAUGUGUGGCUGCAUUCCCUUUCCAUUCGAUAGUGAGUGCCACUCUAAAAACUCUUGAUGAAGUAAGUUUUUGUGACGGUUUCAAUUAAAUUGUACACAGAGCUGGGUUUCAGCUAUGCUGGGAGAUUCAUGGUAAACUGCGGGAGCUGGCCUCUCCACCCAUCUGAUUUCAGCAGUUGAUUUGCAUUGGGGGGUGGGAGUUGCUGCCUUUGAGGAAGUGGGGAAAGAAAUACAAAUGGAUUAGAUUAGAGUCCAGUGGAGACGGAGGGAAACUGCAGACUGAAUCUGAUGGAGUAAGCUGGUAGGGGGAGGCCUCCAGGACAGUGGGGUACCUGUGAUGCUCUGCUGGUGGCCACAGGGUCAAGCCCAACAUGUAGAAGGGAAGAGAGACAAUUCUGCUCCCCUGUGAAUGGGGCACGCCCCCACCGUGGCACUACCAUCAGUCGGCAGCCCAAUACAGCAGACCAUUGGAGAUGACCCACUUGAAAGCGUUCUGGUGUCCGCAUGAUGGACAUCUAUGACAGGCACUUCUCUGAUACUGGUUUGAGGGACUGGAGGAGCAAAAUAAGAGUCAGAGCAAGCUUCAUGGUGAAUGAGCCUGAGAGGUGAAUUCAUAAACUGUGGAUCAACAAACAUAAACAGGUGGUCCUUUGCAGAGUACUAAUGUUUAUGUACCAAGACAUGGAUGCAAUGCAUGUGGGAUCUUAACAUCAGUAAAUACCUCCUUUGGACCUAAGGCUGGUAAGGUCCAGAGAAGGGAUUUUAGCUAAGCAGCGGUAAGUUUCUUGGGGUGCCUGACUGGUUCAGUCAGAAGAGCAUG